rnacentral:rRNA from 1 species
GACGAACGCUGGCGGCGUGCCUAAUACAUGCAAGUCGAACGAGAGCGACCGGUGCUUGCACUGGUCAAUUUAGUGGCGAACGGGUGAGUAACACGUGGGUAACCUGCCCAUCAGAGGGGGAUAACAUUCGGAAACGGAUGCUAAAACCGCAUAGGUCUUCGAACCGCAUGGUUUGAAGAGGAAAAGAGGCGCAAGCUUCUGCUGAUGGAUGGACCCGCGGUGCAUUAGCUAGUUGGUGAGGUAACGGCUCACCAAGGCCGUGAUGCAUAGCCGACCUGAGGGGGUGAUCGGCCACAUUGGGACUGAGACACGGCCCAAACUCCUACGGGAGGCAGCAGUAGGGAAUCUUCCGCAAUGGACGCAAGUCUGACGGAGCAACGCCGCGUGAGUGAAGAAGGUUUUCGGAUCGUAAAACUCUGUUGUUAGAGAAGAACAAGUGCUAGAGUAACUGUUAGCGCCUUGACGGUAUCUAACCAGAAAGCCACGGCUAACUACGUG